GAUGAACGCUGGCGGCGUGCCUAAUACAUGCAAGUCGAGCGAACGGACGAGAAGCUUGCUUCUCUGAUGUUAGCGGCGGACGGGUGAGUAACACGUGGAUAACCUACCUAUAAGGCUGGGAUAACUUCGGGAAACCGGAGCUAAUACCGGAUAAUAUUUUGAACCGCAUGGUUCAAAAGUGAAAGACGGUCUUGCUGUCACUUAUAGAUGGAUCCGCGCUGCAUUAGCUAGUUGGUAAGGUAACGGCUUACCAAGGCAACGAUGCAUAGCCGACCUGAGAGGACGAUCAGCCACACUGGAACUGAGACACGGUCCAGACUCCUACGGGAGGCAGCAGUAGGGAAUCUUCCGCAAUGGGCGAAAGCCUGACGGAGCAACGCCGCGUGAGUGAUGAAGGUCUUCGGAUCGUAAAACUCUGUUAUUAGGGAAGAACAUAUGUGUAAGUAACUGUGCACAUCUUGACGGUACCUAAUCAGAAAGCAACGGCUAACUACGUG
rnacentral:rRNA from 1 species